rnacentral:rRNA from 1 species
CUGGUUGAUCCUGCCAGUAGUCAUAUGCUUGUCUCAAAGAUUAAGCCAUGCAUGUCUAAGUUCAAGCAAAAAUAAUGUGAAACCGCGAAUGGCUCAUUAUAUCAGUUAUGGUUCCUUAGAUCGCACUUACUACUUGGAUAACUGUGGUAAUUCUAGAGCUAAUACAUGCGUUGGACUCCGAACUUUACGGUGAGGAGUGCUUUUAUUAGAUCAAAGCCAAUCGGGUCUUCGGAUUCGUUUAGUUGGUGACUCUGAAUAACUUUGCUGAUCGCACGGUCUUGCACCGGCGACGUAUCUUUCAAGUGUCUGCCUUAUCAACUGUCGAUGGUAGGUUAUGCGCCUACCAUGGUUGUAACGGGUAACGGGGAAUCAGGGUUCGAUUCCGGAGAGGGAGCCUGAGAAACGGCUACCACAUCCAAGGAAGGCAGCAGGCGCGCAAAUUACCCACUCCCGGCACGGGGAGGUAGUGACGAAAAAUAACGAUACGGAACUCAUACGAGGCUCCGUAAUCGGAAUGAGUACACUUUAAAUCCUUUAACGAGGAUCUAUUGGAGGGCAAGUCUGGU